rnacentral:rRNA from 1 species
GACGAAGGUGGCAAGCGUUACUCGGAAUUACUAGGCGUAAAGCGCGAGCAGGCGGUUCGACAAGUCCGUUGUGAAAGCCCCGGGCUCAACCCGGGGAGGUCAAUGGAUACUGUCGGACUUGAAUACGGGAGAGGUCGCUGGAAUUCCUGGUGUAGCGGUGAAAUGCGUAGAUAUCGGGAGGAACACCUGUGGCGAAAGCGG